rnacentral:rRNA from 1 species
UACGUAGGGGGCAAGCGUUGUCCGGAUUUAUUGGGCGUAAAGAGCGUGUAGGCGGCCAGGUAGGUCAGCUGUGAAAACUCGAGGCUCAACCUCGAGACGCCGGUUGAAACCAUCUGGCUAGAGUCCGGAAGAGGAGAGUGGAAUUCCUGGUGUAGCGGUGAAAUGCGCAGAUAUCAGGAAGAACACCCGUUGCUAAGGCGGCUCUCUAGUACGGUACUGACGCUGAGACGCGAAAGCGUGGAGAGCGAACAGG